UUAAUGGCUUCAGGAGGUGGU
rnacentral:siRNA from 1 species